rnacentral:rRNA from 1 species
UGGAACUUGCUCCCUGAUGUUACGGCGGACGGGUGAGUACACGUGGGUACCUGCCUGUAAGACUGGGAUAACUCCGGGAAACCGGGGCUAAUACCGGAUGCUUGUUUGAACCGCAUGGUUCAAACAUAAAAGGUGGCUUCGGCUACCACUUACAGAUGGACCCGCGGCGCAUUAGCUAGUUGGUGAGGUAAUGGCUCACCAAGGCAACGAUGCGUAGCCGACCUGAGAGGGUGAUCGGCCACACUGGGACUGAGACACGGCCCAGACUCCUACGGGAGGCAGCAGUAGGGAAUCUUCCGCAAUGGACGAAAGUCUGACGGAGCAACGCCGCGUGAGUGAUGAAGGUUUUCGGAUCGUAAAGCUCUGUUGUUAGGGAAGAACAAGUGCCGUUCAAAUAGGGCGGCACCUUGACGGUACCUAACCAGAAAGCCACGGCUAACUACGUGCCAGCAGCCA